rnacentral:rRNA from 1 species
UACGGAGGGGGCUAGCGUUGUUCGGAAUUACUGGGCGUAAAGCGCGCGUAGGCGGACCUGCAAGUCGGGGGUGAAAGCCCGAGGCUCAACCUCGGAACUGCCUUCGAUACUGCGGGUCUCGAGUCCGGGAGAGGUGAGUGGAAUUCCUAGUGUAGAGGUGAAAUUCGUAGAUAUCGGGAGGAACACCAGCGGCGAAGGCGACUACCUGGCCUGUUCUUGACGCUGAGGCGCGAAAGCUAGGGGAGCAAACGGG